CCUACGGGCGGCAGCAGUGGGGGAUAUUGCACAAUGGGGGGAACCCUGAUGCAGCGACGCCGCGUGAGUGAAGAAGCGCCUCGGCGCGUAAAGCCCUGUCAGCAGGGAAGAAAAUGACGGUACCUGAAGAAGAAGCCCCGGCUAAAUACGUGCCAGCAGCCGCGGUAAUACGUAGGGGGCAAGCGUUAUCCGGAUUUACUGGGCGUAAGGGGGGCGCAGACGGGGAUGCAAGCCAGGGGUGAAAGCCCGGGGCCCAACCCCGGGACUGCUCUUGGAACUGCGUGGCUGGAGUGCAGGAGGGGCAGGCGGAAUUCCUGGUGUAGCGGUGAAAUGCGUAGAUAUCAGGAAGAACACCGGUGGCGAAGGCGGCCUGCUGGACUGCAACUGACGUUGAGGCCCGAAAGCGUGGGGAGCAAACAGGAUUAGAUACCCGAGUAGUC
rnacentral:rRNA from 1 species